rnacentral:rRNA from 1 species
UAGGGAAUCUUCGGCAAUGGGGGCAACCCUGACCGAGCAACGCCGCGUGAGUGAAGAAGGUUUUCGGAUCGUAAAGCUCUGUUGUAAGAGAAGAACGUGUGUGAGAGUGGAAAGUUCACACAGUGACGGUAACUUACCAGAAAGGGACGGCUAACUACGUGCCAGCAGCCGCGGUAAUACGUAGGUCCCGAGCGUUGUCCGGAUUUAUUGGGCGUAAAGCGAGCGCAGGCGGUUUAAUAAGUCUGAAGUUAAAGGCAGUGGCUUAACCAUUGUUCGCUUUGGAAACUGCUAAACUUGAGUGCAGAAGGGGAGAGUGGAAUUCCAUGUGUAGCGGUGAAAUGCGUAGAUAUAUGGAGGAACACCGGUGGCGAAAGCGGCUCUCUGGUCUGUAACUGACGCUGAGGCUCGAAAGCGUGGGGAGCAAACAGG